rnacentral:lncRNA from 1 species
GGACAUCACCAGAGAAUCGUCCAUGAACUUCCUGAUCGAGCCACGGAACGGGCAGGCCAUUGCUUCCGAGCACAUCUCAACCGCCCCCGGUGGCACCUUCGUCUCGAACUUCAGGAGCUUUGCGUACUCGCUGAGCAGGUGGAACAUGUAGUCAUACACGUACUUCAUCUUCGCGCUCUCGGCGACGUACCUCUGUCCGUUCUCUCCGAUGGCCUGCGCCUGUGCAGGGUGCUCAUCUCCCCAUUCCACGGCGUACUUGAUGUCCCUGCACAUCUUGUGGGGCCUUAUGGGCCAGUAAUGGUCCAUGGGGAUCAGCCCUCUCGAGUAGAUAUCAUAGUAGUCCGGCUUUACCCGCAAUGUCAUGGCAUCGCAUGCU